CCGCGCUGGGCCGUGCCCGCGGUCCGUGCGCCCGGAGCGCUCCACGGGAGCGGGAGAGCCCUUCCUCCGCCCGUGCCCCGGGGGAGGCUCCCGGCGCUCCUCGGAACGGGAGCCGCUCUGUCCUCCACAGCACUCCCCUGAGUGAAGUUUGAAGUGUGGCUGAUGGCAGGGAUGCGGUGGUUGGUAGCGAGCUUGUAAUCGGAACCAGCUUGAUUCCCAUGAAAAUAGAAGCCUUUAAUUUCAUUUAACCUACUUCAAUGCUUUAGCAACUGAAACUUUUUUAAAAAAUAUUUUAAUAAUUCUUUCCGUAAUAAUUAAGAAGUGGAGCCAUGUAGGAGUUUCACUGUCUGAGGCAUCCAUCUGUGCUGGAGCAGUCUAGAAUUUCUUGAUCCCAAAUUUUUGUAUCAUGUCUGUGCUUCUUAACUGAGAUACCAUUAUUUCAGCAAUUUGGAAAUUAUAUACUAGGUGUACAGUAGAUUUCUAGGCUCUUCACCCUUCAGCUUCUCUACGCUGUUUUUCACCCUCCACUCACAUAUAGGUGCCUUAAAAUUCAGCCAUUUCCCCAUCGAAAACCUAUAGAUGGAUAGGAAAGAUUAUUUUUAUGGGUUAUGUUUUUAUGGUUACUAUAAAGUAAUGACAAAUUUAGAUCUCUAAAUUUUGUAACUGCAGGUACUUGGUCAUUAUUGCUGGACUGUAGGUAUAGUGAAGCUUUACUAGGCACAAUUUUAACAAUGAAAGCACUUGGGGGAGUUGUUCUAAAUUAAAUGUGGCUGUAGGUUUUGGACAGGAUAAUUUUUUUUUUCCUCACAGUUCCAGACUAGCCCAGCCUGUCCACAUCUUAGUUACCUAUAGCAGCCGAUACUUGUCCAUAAAAUUUAACAUCGAAAGCAAAACUGUAACCAUCCAUACCACCUCUUAGCUCCUGCAAGGCCACGCUGAAUUUCCUUCUGGCUGCUACAAAGUGAAAGGUUCACUGUCAUCUUCCUGUUUCUCAGCUCUGGCUCUUGGAGGAGCUCCCGGUUCCUCACAAGGGCUGUUGUUUCCGGUGCUAGGAGGGGGAUGCACCACAAACUGAAAUGGUUAUACAGCCAUUUGCAAGGUUUGAGCGAGUGCCUGGAUGUUGCUGAAGACAUGAGUUGUUGCAGUGACCGCAGGCUUGGAGAAAUUGUGUGUGUUUGGUUUUUUUUGUCACAAAAUAUUCAGUGUUUGAGGAUGUUCCCUGUAGUUUGCUUGUUACUUGUCCGCAGGAAGCAGAGCUGCAGAGUGGCAAACAAAAAAUUCCGAAAAGGAGCCAAUAUCAGCAAGAAUUGUGCUUGGCUAGUUUGGUUCGUGUUGUGGAGGACUUGCAUCGUGUAAACAUUCGGGCAUGAGCUCCUUGUGCAAGAGGCGUAAUUGAUAGAUCCGGAGAGGACAUCCAUUAGCAUAAAUAGGGGUUAAGAUUGGAGCCCUUGGCACUACACACGAUCAGUAUCUGCCAUCCUGCCGAAUAAAUAACUCUUCUCCUGAGCAGGAGGAGGAGGGAGGCUCCAGCAUCCUGUCUGAAAGGCAGUUCAUUUUUGGAGGAGGGACUGUCUGUAAAAGCAACAUUUUUACAGCAAAGCAAGGGACUUCCCUAGUAUGUACUUUUGAACGGAUUACUUACUAAGAAGUAAUUACAAAGUCAUCUGGUACGGAAUCCCUCUGAGUAGAGGCACAAGUAAGUGGAAAUUUGUAGUAAAAUCAGAACUUUGGCUGAAGGAAGGUGUGUGAACACAUGCUGAAGAAAUAUCUGUGUAACCACAUGCAUUGAAUAGCUCUAAUGACAGAGUUCUGCUGAGAUCAACUCAACAGUGGCCCUCUUUGAAAUCAAGUUCUGCUCCAUAGGACUAAAGGAUUAAAAGAGGCUAAAUACCCUAUGAUUGUGAGGACAGCCCUCAUUGCAGAGGAUCUUAUUUCACAAGGGUGUCUUCAGUGAAGUAGUUGAUGAGUUGGGCUGAAUUGUGCUAGUAAGUUAU